GACGAACGCUGGCGGCGUGCCUAAUACAUGCAAGUUGAGCGAUGAAGAUUGGUGCUUGCACCAAUUUGAAGAGCAGCGAACGGGUGAGUAACGCGUGGGGAAUCUGCCUUUGAGCGGGGGACAACAUUUGGAAACGAAUGCUAAUACCGCAUAAUAACUUUAAACAUAAGUUUUAAGUUUGAAAGAUGCAAUUGCAUCACUCAAAGAUGAUCCCGCGUUGUAUUAGCUAGUUGGUGAGGUAAAGGCUCACCAAGGCGAUGAUACAUAGCCGACCUGAGAGGGUGAUCAGCCACAUUGGGACUGAGACACGGCCCAAACUCCUACGGGAGGCAGCAGUAGGGAAUCUUCGGCAAUGGACGAAAGUCUGACCGAGCAACGCCGCGUGAGUGAAGAAGGUUUUCGGAUCGUAAAACUCUGUUGGUAGAGAAGAACGUUGGUGAGAGUGGAAAGCUCAUCAAGUGACGGUAACUACCCAGAAAGGGACGGCUAACUACGUG
rnacentral:rRNA from 1 species